GGAAUUGGGGGAGCCUACACAUGCAAGUCGAGCGAGCUCUUCGGAGCUAGCGGCGGACGGGUUAGUAACGCGUGGGAACGUGCCCUUCACUGCGGAAUAGCCACUGGAAACGGUGAGUAAUACCGCAUACGCCCUUCGGGGGAAAGAUUUAUCGGUGAAGGAUCGGCCCGCGUUAGAUUAGAUAGUUGGUGGGGUAACGGCCUACCAAGUCUACGAUCUAUAGCUGGUUUUAGAGGAUGAUCAGCAACACUGGGACUGAGACACGGCCCAGACUCCUACGGGAGGCAGCAGUGGGGAAUCUUGGACAAUGGGCGCAAGCCUGAUCCAGCCAUGCCGCGUGAGUGAUGAAGGCCUUAGGGUCGUAAAGCUCUUUCGCCAGAGAUGAUAAUGACAGUAUCUGGUAAAGAAACCCCGGCUAACUCCGUGCCAGCAGCCGCGGUAAUACGGAGGGGGUUAGCGUUGUUCGGAAUUACUGGGCGUAAAGCGCACGUAGGCGGAUCAGAAAGUUGGGGGUGAAAUCCCGGGGCUCAACCCCGGAACUGCCUCCAAAACUCCUGGUCUUGAGUUCGAGAGAGGUGAGUGGAAUUCCGAGUGUAGAGGUGAAAUUCGUAGAUAUUCGGAGGAACACCAGUGGCGAAGGCGGCUCACUGGCUCGAUACUGACGCUGAGGUGCGAAAGUGGGUAGCAAACAGGAUUAGAUACCCUGGUAG
rnacentral:rRNA from 1 species